rnacentral:rRNA from 1 species
CCUACGGGAGGCAGCAGUGAGGAAUAUUGGUCAAUGGGCGUAAGCCUGAACCAGCCAAGUCGCGUGAGGGAUGAAGGUUCUAUGGAUCGUAAACCUCUUUUAUAAGGGAAUAAAGUGUGGGACGUGUCCUGUUUUGUAUGUCCCUUAUGAAUAAGGAUCGGCUAACUCCGUGCCAGCAGCCGCGGUAAUACGGAGGAUCCGAGCGUUAUCCGGAUUUAUUGGGUUUAAAGGGUGCGUAGGCGGCCUUUUAAGUCAGCGGUGAAAGUCAGUGGCUCAACCAUAGAGUUGCCGUUGAAACUGGGAGGCUUGAGUAUGUUUGAGGCAGGCGGAAUGCGUGGUGUAGCGGUGAAAUGCUUAGAUAUCACGCAGAACCCCGAGUGCGAAGGCAGCCUGCCAAGCCAUGACUGACGCUGAUGCACGAAAGCGUGGGGAUCAAACAGGAUUAGAUACCCCAGUAGUC